CCAUCCACCAACUCUCAUUUGAAAUAUUUUAACCGUCCGCGACGAUGCAAGUACGCAUAAAAGGUUUAUAUGCCUACAUUUUGCAUGUCAUAAACGUAAGAACGGAUUUGAUCGAUAGGAAUGUUUUUUUACGAAGCCUUUUUCAUUGGCCGCUUUAGGAGGAGCGAUGUGUGUGUGAAAGAAUAAGAUGCGAAAGAUGAAAUCGAGCGUCCGCUUCGGCAAUUACAGUUGUGUAGGUGUGUCGGGAUAACGAAGCAGGAGAGAUAAUGAUCAUGAGAUAAGUACAAAUUGUGAUCAGUAGUGAUCGAGCAGCGGUACGAUUGAGUUACGAAAAAAAAGCUUUCGCUAAAGCGGCGUUCUUCCUUUGUAGCUAGAAAGUUUAACAAGAUUUGUGUUUUAUUGCCAAAAAGUGAUGAAGAGGAUGUUAUUAAAUAUAAAAAAAUGUUUAGUACAUCAAGUCGUGUAGUAAUGUGAUGCUGAUCAGUAAAGAUUCACACGUGCAAACUUGUACAAAUUGUUGCCAGCGUUGGCUUGGGUUUGUUUCAGCGUAUGCGUGACACUUGAUCAUUGCGAUCGGGUGUGAUGAUUUCAAUAUACAAAAGCGUAAAGUGUGUAAGUGAAAGAAGAAAACCACUGGCUCACAAAUCACAAGCAAAAUUCGUCGCUCGUUGUAAGGAAAGGACUCUACAAAGCUUGAAAAAAAAACGAAUAAGCUUAGUUGGAAUAAUGCUGUGUGUAGAUGUACUGAGGUGGUUUGUCUCCAUAACUCUUUUGACAUUUCACAAGUCAUCCAACCUAACGGUAUCGUGUUGAUCGUGUUUAAGCGAUAACAAGAUUUUCCUCAUCUCACGCUUACACGAGCAGCUAAUGUACGAUCUUACGCUCUUACUCCAACGUUAAAGUUACCAUUGUGUGGAGAGUAAGGACAUAUACGAUCAGUGCGUGUACUAUGCGCGUACUAAAUUUGCAAAUUAUUUGCAUUUGUGUUGUGCAGUGUAUUUUGCCAAACGAGUUUUAUCAUAAAACCAUGGCAUUGGCGUAUUGUGUGUGUUUGUAUUAUAACCUCCGUGCUAGCUUCGGUUCAUUAUUAAAAUUUGGAUGUUGUUACAGUGCUGUACAUGUUUGUGAAAAGCGGCUUCCUUCCUUUGUGCACAGAAAAAAAAAUGUUCCGUGAAAAAAGUGUUGUUUUUUUUGGUGAAAAAAAGUGAAAAAUGUGAGUUUCAAUGAUUAAUUGAAACGUUAAUUAGUGUAUCGUAAAAUGUGGCCAUUUUAGGCAAAUGUUGUGUUUUAAAUGUCUCAAAGCGCGUUUAAGUGUGCAUUUAAAAAUUCAAGGUAGUUUUUUGGUGCAAAAAAAUUGUGUCUAUUAAUCAUUGCGUAAAAUACGUGAAUUAGUGUAUUGCUUAUUGCGUGAAUUAGUGUAUUAAAAAAUGUGGCCAUUGCAGGCGUGUGUCAGUGUUUUAAGUGUGCCUAAGUGUAUUGAAGUUUGUAUGUGCAUUUGUGCACAGAAAAUAAAAAUGCAAGUGUUGGUAGUUUUGUGUUAAUUAGUGUAUUAAAAAUGUGGCUAUUAUAGGCAUGUGUGGUGCUAUAAAUGUGCUAUAAAAUUGAAGUCUGCAUGUGUCGUUGUGCAUCGAAAAAAUAAAAUGCAAGUGUUGGUAGUUUUUUUUGGGAAAAAAAGUUGUGUAUAUAAAUAAUUGCGUAAUUUGCGUGAAUUAGUGUAUAGUAAAAUGUGGUCAUUAUAGGCAAGUGCGAGUGUUUUAAAUGUGCCUAAGUGCAUUGAAAUGUGUAUUUGCAUUUGUGCACAGAAAAAAUGAAAGGCAAGUGUUGAUUGUGUUUAGUGAAAAAAAUAGUUAAAAAAAUGAGAUUUCAAUUAAUAAAUUAGUGUGUUACAAAUGAGGCCUUUUUAGGCGAGUGCAUUGAAGUGUGUAUGUGAAAUAAAAAAGAAAAUGCCAGUGUAUUAAAUUAAAGGAUUUGCCAAGAAGCUGUUUUGUCUUCCAAAGUAAUGCGUUCCUGCGUAUAAAUUGUCUAUUAAUCGGCGGAACGCCGUUCAUCCGUAAUCAAUAGGAAUCGACCGAGUGAUCGAUCAACACGAAUAAUAAUUAAUCCUGCUCUUGCUGAUACGCAUUAGUGUACAAUCUAAGGCAAUCCAAAAAGGGCAAUCAAAAAGCUUCCUUCCUUGAGGAUCUGCUUUUCGAAAGUAUGUCCUUCCCAGCGCGAUUCGGUUAGCGGUCAGUAUGAAGGUGAUGCAAUCCUCACAACAUCCUCAUUCCCAUCCAUUCCCAUCUUCAGGACUUUUGCAGUGUACAGUACAUUCCAUUUUGCGGGACUUUAUACAUCGCCCCGGGACGUUAUAUUUGCAACUCGGUAGAGUCCGAUUGACCGGAAACAGAGUUCCCCAUGACAUAGCGAGAAUAUGUUGCCACCGAACACGCAAGGAAUAAGCAUAAUUUAACGUUAGUUUCGAGCCUAUAAAUUACACCACAAUGCUAGCGUUCGGGUUCGACUGUCCGUAUUUGUUGGAACAUCUUUUCCGGUUCCUCUUAUUUAGCAACCGCCACAUUUUUUAACUCGAGAUGCAUGAUAAUUUAUGCAAAAAAAAAAAAGAUUUCAGCAAAUUAUUCUCUACCUUCGAACGCGAAAUCCUUUCCUUGCAAAUGACGUUCGUAGCAUUUCCUUUUAGGGCCCGACAGCUGACAUUGUUUUUCGAGCAUCCGUUAAGUAUUGAAGCGCUCUUCUACUGUCCGUGGUGGGUACUAUGAUUGUUACCGUAACCCACGAAUGUUGUCCGAUUUGUUGGGCCCUUAUUUAUGGGUCGCUAAAUCAUGGUAACAUCAAAAACAGAACUGCAACCAACAUCGCCCGGUUGUUGGUGAAUGGUAUAGAAUUGCAAUCGUGGCUCGUCGGCGAUACACAGUCACAGGCUAAGAAGCAAGAAUGUAGCUAAUUCCCACUCGAUUUAGGUCGCAUGUGUGGGAAAUGUGCAAUUCACUUGAAGCCUCUGGAUACAGUUAUGUACUAAAUUUUGGAUGCUUUUAUUGUUGAACUUUCUUGGACUACACGUUGAGGAAAAAUGGGAAAAAAUGUAUUUUGUAAAUGGGCCAAAUCUCAUCUGGGGCAAGCCCCCAUAGCAAGGGCUGACAAUCUGGCUACCACGUAAAAUAAGUUGUUAAGCCAAAAAGAGACAUAGAGAGAGAGAAUUUCGUGAAAAACAAACCGAGUAUGCCCGGGAUAAGGCAAAGUGCAAGGAGAAAAUACCUUGUCAAAAUUUUACAUACUUCGGCCUUUAGAGGCUGAUAAUACGGCAAAAUGCCGUAAUCAUUAAAUAUAAAUAAAAAAAU